AGCAAUAUGACCAAAAUACAUCAUAUCACGAUAUUCUGAAUGAGAAUAAUUGGCUGCUGAGGGAACAAGUGUUUAUAGCUGCUAUAAUCUUGGUGCAAUACGAGUCUGUUCCUGUCCUGAUUGUAAAACAAAAUGUGAUUGGUUGGAGUGAGAACGUACUACGAUUGGUCAGUGCAAUGUGACUGUUAUCUGAUUGGCUUGAGUAGAUGGUGGGCGGAGUCCAACUAUUUGUGGAUUUGUGUGCACUCUUGAGGCUAGAAAUUUUUCAAAAUCCACAAGCACGCGCGCAGCAAUGCACAAACACGUGCAGCAAUGCACAAACGCGCAGGACGCGAUCCAUAAACGAAUGCAAGACAGAGUUGUUUGUGACAAACAUUUGUUAAAAAAAUAUAAUUUUAUUUGCAAGUCUCAUUUGAUUUAUUCGUUAACUUAUUUUUGUGAAACUACUAACAUAUAUUUGUGGAUCUCAUUCAAUACAUUUGUGAAUUUAUUUAAUUUUUGUAAAUCUCACAACAUUUAUUUGUGGAUUGUAAUCUAUUUAUUUGGAAUUAUGAAACAAUUCUAACCCCAGACACCACCCUGUCAUUCAGUACUUUAGUGUGGCACAUACAUACACACAUGCACAAUGAGUGUUUAUAACUUCUUAUUCUGUUGCUCUCUCUGUCUGUCACUCUCUCGCACUCUCUGUCUGUGUCUGUCUCUGUGUGUGUCUCUCUCGCUCUCUGUGUCUCUCUUUUUCUCUCUUCAUAAUGAGAUUAGUGUGAGGAAUUAGGGACAGCUCAUUUAUAGACUUGUCUCUGGUUUAUUAAUGCACACACACACAAUGCAGUGAUAGAAAAACCACCAGGAGUUCCCUUUUCAAACAGGUACAAAGUUAAUGUGAAACCAGAGUCACCUUUCUGAUGGUUUUCUCUCUCUCUCUCUCUUUCU